UACGGAGGAUGCGAGCGUUAUCCGGAUUUAUUGGGUUUAAAGGGUGCGUAGGCGGAACAUUAAGUCAGCGGUAAAAUCGAGGGGCUCAACCCCUUUAAGCCGUUGAAACUGGUGAUCUUGAGUGGGCGAGAAGUAUGCGGAAUGCGUGGUGUAGCGGUGAAAUGCAUAGAUAUCACGAAGAACCCCGAUUGCGAAGGCAGCCUGCCGCAGCGUUACUGACGCUGAAGCUCGAAAGCGUGGGUAUCGAACAGG
rnacentral:rRNA from 1 species